AGUUCAAGUGUCUAGCAGCUU
rnacentral:siRNA from 1 species